AACGCGAAGAACCUUACCUGGGCUCGAAAUGUUGUGGACCGGGGUAGAAAUAUCCCUUCCCCGCAAGGGGCCGCAAUAUAGGUGCUGCAUGGCUGUCGUCAGCUCGUGUCGUGAGAUGUUGGGUUAAGUCCCGCAACGAGCGCAACCCUUAUCGUUAGUUGCCAGCGAGUCAAGUCGGGCACUCUAGCGAAACCGCCUCGGAUAACGGGGAGGAAGGUGGGGAUGACGUCAAGUCCUCAUGGCCUUUAUGUCCAGGGCUACACACGUGCUACAAUGGCCGGUACAAACCGUCGCAAACUCGCGAGAGGGAGCUAAUCGGAAAAAGCCGGCCUCAGUUCGGAUUGGAGUCUGCAACUCGACUCCAUGAAGCUGGAAUCGCUAGUAAUCGCGGAUCAGCACGCCGCGGUGAAUACGUUCCCGGGCCUUGUACACACCGACUGUAC
rnacentral:rRNA from 1 species